ACGGGAGGCAGCAGUGGGGAAUAUUGCACAAUGGGGAAACCCUGAUGCAGCGACGCCGCGUGAGUGAAGAAGUAUUUCGGUAUGUAAAGCUCUAUCAGCAGGAAAGAAAAUGACGGUACCUGACUAAGAAGCCCCGGCUAACUACGUGCCAGCAGCCGCGGUAAUACGUAGGUGGCAAGCGUUGUCCGGAAUUACUGGGUGUAAAGGGAGCGUAGGCGGGACAGCAAGUUGGAUGUGAAAUACCGAGGCUUAACCACGGAGCUGCAUCCAAAACUGUUGUUCUUGAGUGAAGUAGAGGUAGGCGGAAUUCCGAGUGUAGCGGUGAAAUGCGUAGAUAUUCGGAGGAACACCAGUGGCGAAGGCGGCCUACUGGGCUUUAACUGACGCUGAGGCUCGAAAGUGUGGGGAGCAAACAGGAUUAGAUACCCUGGUA
rnacentral:rRNA from 1 species